AAAGGGAGACCUAAUUCAGGUAUGGGACGAAAAAAAAGUAGUCCCUACCAAGAAUCAAUCCCAAAAGGUCGGAACGAGGUGUGUGGCUUUCAAACUAGGUUCUGGGUUCACACAAGACCUGAAUCAGGAACAAGGGCUAUUAGCUCAGGUGGUUAGAGCGCACCCCUGAUAAGGGUGAGGUCCCUGGUUCGAGUCCAGGAUGGCCCACCUGUACAGGUGGCAAAAACAAAGAAGCGAGGAAUCAGCACCUUAUCUUAUCUAUAUAUAUAUAGGAGAGAAUGCUGGCUCUGAGUAAAGAGUCCAGAGGAACCUUGAAAACUGCAUAGAGCUAGGUGAAAAAGCCAAAAAAGAAGACCGCAAG
rnacentral:tRNA from 1 species